UUGCUCCCUGAUGUUAGCGGCGGACGGGUGAGUAACACGUGGGUAACCUGCCUGUAAGACUGGGAUAACUCCGGGAAACCGGGGCUAAUACCGGAUGGUUGUCUGAACCGCAUGGUUCAGACAUAAAAGGUGGCUUCGGCUACCACUUACAGAUGGACCCGCGGCGCAUUAGCUAGUUGGUGAGGUAACGGCUCACCAAGGCGACGAUGCGUAGCCGACCUGAGAGGGUGAUCGGCCACACUGGGACUGAGACACGGCCCAGACUCCUACGGGAGGCAGCAGUAGGGAAUCUUCCGCAAUGGACGAAAGUCUGACGGAGCAACGCCGCGUGAGUGAUGAAGGUUUUCGGAUCGUAAAGCUCUGUUGUUAGGGAAGAACAAGUGCCGUUCAAAUAGGGCGGCACCUUGACGGUACCUAACCAGAAAGCCACGGCUAACUACGUGCCAGCAGCCGCGGUAAUACGUAGGUGGCAAGCGUUGUCCGGAAUUAUUGGGCGUAAAGGGCUCGCAGGCGGUUUCUUAAGUCUGAUGUGAAAGCCCCCGGCUCAACCGGGGAGGGUCAUUGGAAACUGGGGAACUUGAGUGCAGAAGAGGAGAGUGGAAUUCCACGUGUAGCGGUGAAAUGCGUAGAGAUGUGGAGGAACACCAGUGGCGAAGGCGACUCUCUGGUCUGUAACUGACGCUGAGGAGCGAAAGCGUGGGGAGCGAACAGGAUUAGAUACCCUGGUAGUCCACGCCGUAAACGAUGAGUGCUAAGUGUUAGGGGGUUUCCGCCCCUUAGUGCUGCAGCUAACGCAUUAAGCACUCCGCCUGGGGAGUACGGUCGCAAGACUGAAACUCAAAGGAAUUGACGGGGGCCCGCACAAGCGGUGGAGCAUGUGGUUUAAUUCGAAGCAACGCGAAGAACCUUACCAGGUCUUGACAUCCUCUGACAAUCCUAGAGAUAGGACGUCCCCUUCGGGGGCAGAGUGACAGGUGGUGCAUGGUUGUCGUCAGCUCGUGUCGUGAGAUGUUGGGUUAAGUCCCGCAACGAGCGCAACCCUUGAUCUUAGUUGCCAGCAUUCAGUUGGGCACUCUAAGGUGACUGCCGGUGACAAACCGGAGGAAGGUGGGGAUGACGUCAAAUCAUCAUGCCCCUUAUGACCUGGGCUACACACGUGCUACAAUGGACAGAACAAAGGGCAGCGAAACCGCGAGGUUAAGCCAAUCCCACAAAUCUGUU
rnacentral:rRNA from 1 species